GGCUGCCCUAAGCGGGCAGUCGAUGUCCUGGCGCGACAUCAAGACGCUAGGGCUCGCCUCCCUGGGCGGCGC
rnacentral:tRNA from 1 species